AGAGCAGAAUUUACAAAUAGCAUUUUGUUUCUUUUAGUAUAUCUUUCAAAAGACAUGUUUAUCAGGGUAGAUAAGAC
ensembl:misc_RNA